rnacentral:rRNA from 1 species
GAUGAACGCUGGCGGCGUGCCUAAUACAUGCAAGUCGAGCGAACAGACGAGGAGCUUGCUCCUCUGACGUUAGCGGCGGACGGGUGAGUGACACGUGGAUAACCUACCUAUAAGACUGGGAUAACUUCGGGAAACCGGAGCUAAUACCGGAUAAUAUAUUGAACCGCAUGGUGCAAUAGUGAAGGACGGUUUUGCUGUCACUUAUAGAUGGAUCCGCGCCGCAUUAGCUAGUUGGUAAGGUAAAGGCUUACCAAGGCGACGAUGCGUAGCCGACCUGAGAGGGUGAUCGGCCACCCUGGAACUGAGCCACGGUCCAGACCCCUGCGGGAGGCAGCAGUCGGGAAUCUUCCGCAAUGGGCGAAAGCCUGACGGAGCAACGCCGCGUGAGUGAUGACGGUCUUCGGAUCGUAAAACUCUGUUAUUAGGGAAGAACCAAUGUGUAAGUAACUAUGCACGUCUUGACGGUACCUAAUCAGAAAGCCACGGCUAACUACGUG